rnacentral:rRNA from 1 species
CCUACGGGAGGCAGCAGUGAGGAAUAUUGGUCAAUGGACGAGAGUCUGAACCAGCCACGUAGCGUGAAGGAUGACUGCCCUAUGGGUUGUAAACUUCUUUUAUAUGGGAAUAAAAUGUUCCACGUGUGGGAUUUUGUAUGUACCAUAUGAAUAAGGAUCGGCUAACUCCGGGCCAGCAGCCGCGGUAAUACGGAGGAUCCGAGCGUUAUCCGGAUUUAUUGGGUUUAAAGGGAGCGUAGGUGGAUUGUUAAGUCAGUUGUGAAAGUUUGCGGCUCAACCGUAAAAUUGCAGUUGAAACUGGCAGUCUGGAGUACAGUAGAGGUGGGCGGAAUUCGUGGUGUAGCGGUGAAAUGCUUAGAUAUCACGAAGAACUCCGAUUGCGAAGGCAGCUCACUGGACUGCAACUGACACUGAGGCUCGAAAGUGUGGGUAUCAAACAGGAUUAGAUACCCCAGUAGUC